rnacentral:rRNA from 1 species
GCUUGCUACUUUGCUGACGAGCGGCGGACGGGUGAGUAAUGCUUGGGAACAUGCCUUGAGGUGGGGGACAACAGUUGGAAACGACUGCUAAUACCGCAUAAUGUCUACGGACCAAAGGGGGCUUCGGCUCUCGCCUUUAGAUUGGCCCAAGUGGGAUUAGCUAGUUGGUGAGGUAAUGGCUCACCAAGGCAACGAUCCCUAGCUGGUUUGAGAGGAUGAUCAGCCACACUGGGACUGAGACACGGCCCAGACUCCUACGGGAGGCAGCAGUGGGGAAUAUUGCACAAUGGGCGCAAGCCUGAUGCAGCCAUGCCGCGUGUGUGAAGAAGGCCUUCGGGUUGUAAAGCACUUUCAGUCAGGAGGAAAGGUUAGUAGUUAAUACCUGCUAGCUGUGACGUUACUGACAGAAGAAGCACCGGCUAACUCCGUGCCAGCAGCCGCGGUAAUACGGAGGGUGCGAGCGUUAAUCGGAAUUACUGGGCGUAAAGCGUACGCAGGCGGUUUGUUAAGCGAGAUGUGAAAGCCCCGGGCUCAACCUGGGAACUGCAUUUCGAACUGGCAAACUAGAGUGUGAUAGAGGGUGGU